CCCCCAGCUCUCUGCACAUGCUCAGUGCGUUCUUCUCGUGCCGGCGCUUUUGCAAGAUUUGACGCAGGUGAUUCAGCUCCACCUGUAGCGUGUAGGCACAAGACCCGAAACAGGCACACAGUCUACUGCCCCCUAAAGGGAAAAGCAGCAAGAAGGGGAAUGCCUCCCAUUGGCCAGCCAGAACAACACAGCCGUUUCUAUGGAGCUGAAUGCCAGAAGUGCCAGAGAGCCCAACAGUGGAAUUUGAAGGGUGAAAGGAGGGAAGAGGGUGAAGAUAAGGAUGAUGAAGAUGAAGUGUCCAGUGUAGAUGGUAACCAUGACACUGAGGCGCUGGUUGAGGUAGACAGCUAUGAGGAAGGCCAACAGGUCCAGAACCAGCAAGAGAGCACUGGGCAGCAGUAGAGUCACGGAUUCUCUCCCACUCAUUUUUUUCUCUCUCACCACUCCAAGAACACUCAAGAUGCUCAGGUCCACUCUGACAGGCACAGAGUUCCUCCAAUCAACAACUGGUCUCAUCUUAGCUGAAUCCUCCCCUAGCAGACCAACCAGCCAUUGGCCAAUGGAGGGAGGCAAUAGCUUCUCAGUGUUGGACAUGCCCCCUGUAAACCAAUAAAAUUGAAUA